AGUGAACGCUGGCGGUAGGCCUAACACAUGCAAGUCGAACGGCAGCACAGUAAGAGCUUGCUCUUACGGGUGGCGAGUGGCGGACGGGUGAGGAAUACAUCGGAAUCUACUUUUUCGUGGGGGCUAACGUAGGGAAACUUACGCUAAUACCGCAUACGACCUACGGGUGAAAGCAGGGGAUCUUCGGACCUUGCGCGAUUGAAUGAGCCGAUGUCGGAUUAGCUAGUUGGCGGGGUAAAGGCCCACCAAGGCGACGAUCCGUAGCUGGUCUGAGAGGAUGAUCAGCCACACUGGAACUGAGACACGGUCCAGACUCCUACGGGAGGCAGCAGGGGGGAAUAUUGGACAAUGGGCGCAAGCCUGAUCCAGCCAUACCGCGUGGGUGAAGGAGGCCUUCGGGUUGUAAAGCCCUUUUGUUGGGAAAGAAAAGCAGCAGGUUAAUACCCCGCUGUUCUGACGGUACCCAAAGAAUAAGCACCGGCUAACUUCGU
rnacentral:rRNA from 1 species